AGAACGAACGCUGGCGGCAUGCCUAAUACAUGCAAGUCGAACGAAGGCUUCGGCCUUAGUGGCGCACGGGUGCGUAACGCGUGGGAAUCUGCCCCUUGGUUCGGAAUAACAGUUGGAAACGACUGCUAAUACCGGAUGAUGACGAAAGUCCAAAGAUUUAUCGCCAAGGGAUGAGCCCGCGUAGGAUUAGCUAGUUGGUGAGGUAAAGGCUCACCAAGGCGACGAUCCUUAGCUGGUCUGAGAGGAUGAUCAGCCACACUGGGACUGAGACACCGGCCCAGACCUCCGUACGGAGGCAGCAGGUAGGAAUAGUAGACGAAGUGGGACAAACGCGUAGA
rnacentral:rRNA from 1 species